CCGAGUGGUGACUCAGGUUAGCUACUGCUCAGGCAAGCAAAAGGUAUACAUUUUCCAAGGAAGAGGAAAGGAAAAGACAUUUGUUUUUUCUUAGAAAUGAUUUUUGAGAUCAGCAGAAUAAACUGAUGUUUCAGACUCCACAAGAACAGGACAGACCCAGAUGCUAAUGUCUUCUCACUUCCACAUGCCAGGUGUAUGCCCUCACCUCAAGGCUAUUGGCUUAUUCUCAGGAGUCAAAAGUGCCAUUUUUCUGGGUCCUGUCUUGGUCACUGAGAUGUUGAAACUGAAACUUGCAGAAGAUCUAGCUAUUUGUAUUUGCACAUAG
rnacentral:lncRNA from 1 species